ACUAAAAUUACAUUUGGCCCUUUGAAGGCAACUGCGAGGCUGAUCUGGCCCCUGGUGAAAAUGAGUUUGAGACCCCUGUUUAGAGUAUCUAACCUGCCUGGUUGCAUUAAUUGUGAGUUGGGUAAACAUUUCAGGAAAAAUGAUGCCCUAAUUUCAAAGCACACUGCUUAGUUCCUUUGGUGGGAGCAGAAAGUUAAGGGCGGAUGUUGCGGCUUUCAGGCUCGGAUUUAGAAACAAAAUUGUAUCCAGAUUGUGUGGUAAUGAAGAUUGUUAGGCUAGAAUAGAAUGUGGAAGGAAGAUUUGAAUUUUGUAAAGCACACGUGGAAGUGAGUGGUGUAGAUACUUUUAAACUUACUUGGAUAAAAUUUCUUUCAACUCUCUCCACUUGCUACCAACAGCAAGGCCUCCGUGGAUCCAGAUCAGUAUUUGUAUCUGCGGUAUCAACACGUUACCUGAUAUUGUGCAAGUGUCUCUGAGAAAUGCUGUGCAAAUGCGUAUACUUAGGACUUGAAUGGGAAAAAACACUAAGCAACCCAAACACGUUUGUUUUUCCACUAGAAUAUUCUCUAAUUUUAUUUGUUCUUCUGAAAAUGAAUAAACUUCUGUUGUCCAUGGAAUGACUCAUCUGUUAAGCUUCAGAGCCAAAAAUGUCACUCAAAAAAUUUGCCUUUGCUGUUGAAUUAAAAUCUUUAACUUCCUUUGGCUUCUUCAUAACAAAACGCCAAUGUAAAGAGGGCAUCCUAUCCUGAUUCUUGCGUCUCUUUUGGGAUAUGAAAAAUGAAUCUUAGUCUGAAUUCUCGUAAAUCAGUUCUUUUUGAUGGUAGUUCCUUUUGUAGCAGAUAGAGACAAGCAGGCUUGGAUGCUCUGAACAGAUGUAUUUUACAGCUUCACAAGGAAACUAUUUUUUAUGAGUUUUAUGAUUGUAGUCCUAGGAGUCCUUGUCACGCAGAUCUGCACAACCAUUUCUUGUAGUCUAGUACACUAGCAUGGGAGAAACCUCAGAGCUAAGAGUGUUUUGCAGGUGUGCACUUCUUGCACAAACCCCAGCGAUCCUACCAUGUCUCCAGAUCCAUGAAAUAGUCUGGAGAAUAAAAUAGAGCUGCUAGGUCAAGACUGUGUAAUCAUUUGAGCAUAUGUUAUACAUUAACUUUGGGGAAUAUUGAAUAAACAGGGCAACAAUUAAGCAAAGGAUUAUCAACAUGUGUUCCAUCUUUGUUGUGAAAUGUAUGAAAUAACUAUUCAACAUAUUUGUUGUACAAUUUUCAAUUUGUAAAGCCAAGUAUGUAAUCUUGAUUUUAAACACUUUCUUCUAUACAGUGGGGCAUGGUUAAGCUAGAAGGCAAAAUUGAAAAAUGACUGGUAAAUAUUCUUUUCAUGUUUAAAAAGAGAUGGACAACUGAGACAUAAGGAGAAAAUACAUAAAGCGAGUUUGGAAUGUGAAAUAGAAAAGAGGUUCCCUACUUUAUUAAUAUUUUCCAUGUGUUUGAUUUCAGACAAGCUUUCCCUUUAUCUGCUCCGUCAGCAGGGAUGUCCUGACGUGGCGCUGCGUGUGCAGCAGCUCAGAGCUCCCGCUCAGGUCGCUGCUGAACUUCAAGAGAGGCGAUAGAAAUAUGACUUUCUAUAGGUCCUGAUUGUCCAAGAGUUGUUAGUUAGGUUAGUGGGAGUUUUUCUCAUUCACUUUGGUGGCUUUUGGAUGAGGUCAUUUGGAAAAAAAUUCACCAUGUAACUGAAAACGUGAACAGAACUGAGGUCUGACCUUGCAAAGCUUUGUUGCGGGUUGAUAAUAUCCAGAUUUCAUUGUAUUCAGAGAACUGGUAUGUACCUAAUUCAGUGAAGGCUCAGGAAUUCACUAGAAAUUGUCACAGUUUCUUUGAAAAAAGAUGACUCAGUUCAGAGAAUCCAUCUGUGGUCCUUACUCUGUCCAAAGGUUCAAGGAGUGUUUGUUGAGUCCGUGCCUGUUCUGUGGGUGAGCAUACAGGUGGGGACUUGGAAAGGAGCAACGUAACUGUGAGAUUCAGAGUGUUCUUGCUUUCCAUGGACAAUUACAAGUGCACAAAGAAGGGGGUUUAGAACCAUCUCAGAGACCAAAUUACUUCCUUCUUCAGCCCUUCCUCAAAUGUGGCUUUUGUUUUACUGUAUGUGUUCCUGAGCAAUUAAAAUUGUGAAUACUAAAUGAAACUUUUAUUCUACUAGGAAUUAACAGUUCUUCUAAAAAAUAAAAAUACUGUAUAUAUUCCUUGUUCAAAAACCCUCCAAACACUGAUCUAACUCUUGGAGAAAUGAACUAUAAAAGAGUUCUAGUAAACACAGCCUCUUUCCCAUCUACUUUGGGAGACUGAUUUCUUCUGAGUGUUUUUCAUUGUGUUGGAAGAGUUACGUAUUAAGAUACUUUUCAUUUAUGGUUUGUUCAUUUUGAGCCAAUUCCAGUAUCAACUGAUACGAAAGGGAAGAUAACAUUAACUUCAGAGGGAGUCAGAUGUGAAUCUAAACAUUUAUAUUCGUAGUUUCCAUCUGUGUACUCAAAAAUUGCGUAUGCAUACUCUCAGGAGUAGAACGUGCACUUUUGCUUUCUGGAAUAUGUAAGCACAAAGUUCUCUUUUCUUAAUGUACUUUCUACGAUAUUGUGUGGAUUUUAGAAAUGAAAACCUACAUACACUGAAAAGGUAGAUAUACAGGUUCUAGUUCCUGUAAAAUGUGUGGAUUUUACCUGAUUAACUUUAUAAAUGUUUUAGCUUCAUCUGAUGAGUUCGUUCCCAAGGUGAGGUUUGGGCUGGUCUACAAGUGGGGCCAGAAGCUGUGCCCACAGUUCUCAAUGGCAGUGUGGGGGGAGUUCACCUGUCCAGAAGCUGUGGCUGGCUGAAGAGUUUAGGAAGCCUGCUCGACUACAGAAGAUGGUUUCAGCUCUGGCAAGUCUUUUUGGCUUAGUGGUGGUUGGCAUUUAAGCAUGGCCAAGGGCACUUAAAGCACGAGUGUUUUUUCCCAGACUAGAAAAUCCAGGCUCCCUCAGCUAAGGCCCUAAGUGCAGGUUACCGGUUUAGGGGACACCUGGCUCGCUGCUGGGGGUGUCCCUUUGUCUGCUGCAGCCCCAGGAGCACUGAAGUUUAAGACACGCGUGUGCGUUACAGCUGCUUAACAAUGCUUAACGUGCUGACUGGUAAGAUCCAUACUUGUAGCCUGUGGCAAACAGAAAUUAAAAGUCAUUUGCUGAAGCCUCUCUUAUCCUGAUAAAACCUCUUUCUGUGGGAUAUGACUUUAUCUUUUGUUUUAUAGUACAGGAUGAAAGCCUGCAGGGUUAGUCCCUGGAGCUCAAGCUGACUACCGAGACUCACCAAGCUCAGUCUUAGUCUGGAGUCACUGUGCAAAACUUUUAAGAGUGGGGAGGGAUGGGAGGUUGUAAAGAUAAACUGCUACAGAGGGUUCCUAAGGAUUAAGUGUUAUAGCGCAUUUUCUAACAUUGCAUUCCUUAAGAGCCCUCCGACUGACCAUUUCGAACUUCAUCUCCCAAUAUUUCAAAGGAGCACAGAGUUUACAACUCUCAUUGAUCUCACUGCUAGAAAAAUGAGGUUACUUAUUAAUAUGACUGUGAGUGCCUGUGCUGCACAUAAUUAUUUAAAUAUAGGCAUGCCUGUGUUUCUGGAGUAUUCUGUUAAUGUUUUUGGUAGUGCUGAGUGUUAUGAGGGGAAUUAAAAAGAUUUUGCCAGUUCAGCCAGCAUAAGUAAUUGGGACUGGCAUUUAUUAUUUUAUUAUAUAUAUGCUUGAUAUUCCUUCUUGUUAUGAUGAAUUACUAUUUCCAAAGCAAGCAAAGUCUUACCCACUGUGAAAGAAAAGCUUAUAAUGUGGAUGAACAUCAGAAGAAAGAGAUUCCCAGUGGUAGUAUAUAAAAUGAAAAGCAGAACUGGCUUCUAUUGUGCUCUGUUUCCAUUAGACAUCUUGGAAGUUUUAUAAGCAUGGCGCAUAAUAAAUAUCUAAGCCACAGUUUGAGGUCUUUUACAAAGGAGACAAUUCUUGCUAAUAUUUUACUGGAUCAGUUCUCCAUCUUAUACCCAGAUAGAUACAUAUCUCUGGCAUUUGUCCACAGUGUCAACUUGUGAAUGUGUUAAUUUGCUUUCUGUAUUGCACUGUAUAACUCUGAAUUUAAAUCCAAACCCACAUAUUUAAAAUUAAGUUUGAAAGAGCCAGAGAAACUGUGCAUUAAAUUAGCUCAUAUAUCUGCAAAGAGAAGAGAUCUGCUUCUGAAUAAUUUUCGUCAGAGGCCUAAAAAUACAGAGGGGCAACUCACUAUGGUUGGUUCUGCUGAAACGGAGCAGUGAUCCCUCUGGAGAGAGAUCACAAAGAGCUAACUGUUUGGAUCCAUUACACCACUGAGGUGGAUAUCAAGUAUAAAACCAGAAACAGACCUCAAAAAGUUGAGCCUGAUCUUUUUUUCUUUUUUUUCAAAUAUAAUAAUGUAAGUCUGGUGACAUCAUCAGAUCUGAAAAGUAAUAUAGACUUUUACUGUAUUUUUUUUUCAUUACUCCAAUAUAAAUGUAUCCCAGUGUAUGUAAAAUGCAUUAUAGCAAAUCCACAAGCAAUUUCCUUCAUUGUAACAAAUACUGUAUCUCAUUAGAGCAAAACAAGCCCCCAGUUAUGUUGCAGAACAUCUGCUUAAUAAUUUCAAGUUCCUCCAGCAAUGCUGCCAAAACAGCUAAAAAGUCAACAUCUAGUCCAUUACUUUGAUCAACUGAAGUAAUAAAAUUAUAAAUAAUGCACCAAAUGCAGAUCUGGUGAAAGGCAGCGCAGGGUGCUGGCCCUGGGCUGGGAUGGCUGGGGCUGAUGGCGAUGUGGCUUCAGGCACUUGGACCUGGUGUUCUGAGGAGGGUGGGAUGGAGAACCAGAUAUCUGGCUUGCAUAGAUUUCCUAUCUAAUAGUGAGAAAGUGAGAUAAUCUUUCUGUGUCCAGAUCCAGACUCUAAAUUUCAGUUUAAAAUGCCCUUUUUAUACCCCUGGGCUUUCUGCAAUGCAUAUGAGGUACUUUAACAUUACUGACACGAGCAAAAGCAUCUGUAAACAAACAACAGAUCAAAGUUUACGUAAAAUUUGGCAUGAGUUGUACUGAUGCUUAUUAUUUCUCUGCUUUGUGAUGAUAUCAGUGUUUGCUCUGUUUGUCUUAGGGAAACAGUCGCUGUGUGCUGUUGCAGCGUUAACAUUGUGGCUGCCAUAGGAGUAUUUGGUGGAACUCCACACCAGCGUGACCAGUCAGCACCAGAGGGGUACGGUUCAGUACAGAUCUCUUGGAGCUGACCCUGUUGGUCUGGUCUAGUUAAAACCAGAUCAGGGCUGUAGCAGUUCCUGACUGCGUAUAUUAUGGACAAAAAGCUUUUUGUUUCAUUGUUCUUCCACUGUGAGAAUUUAACUAUUGGCACUAAUUAAGGUGUCAAGAGUCAAAUUACUUUUAUUCUGAAAGACACACCAUAGUUCAUACAGACAAACGCAAAUCCUAAGGGUUUCAACUGUACAACCACACUACACAGAUGGCAGGAUUAAGUGAUGAUGCUGGACAUGUGAGGGAUGUGAUAGCCAUAAAUCUUUGAAUCUGAGGUUAAGAAGAAAUGCUAGAAUAAAAAUCGGCAUUUGGAACAUUACCUUUGAAUUCAUUGUGAUUUGUAACUUCUGUGGUGCCCCAGAAAGAGAAGGGAAAGAACAGUAAGAAACAAAAGUUUUUUGUUUUUUGUUUUUUGGUUUUUUUUUCCACCGUAUGCCCUUAGCAUAGGGGGGGUAGAAGGAUUUCUGGGUUUUGAAGGGAUCUUUCUCAGGAGGUUCUGUGUGCAGGUUGCCUCUUGGCAGGAGCAGCUUAGACAAAGAUGAAAAGAUAUUUCAAUACCAGAGUAACAGUACUUACUGUAUUCCUGAACUUCAGUCAUUUCCAGGAGAUUCCUGCACAUGGCCAGUCAUUUAAGAAAAAGAGCAGCCUGAUUUUGAAGUGGUUAAACUGGCAACAUAAAAAGAGAAAACAAGCCACUAGUUUCUUUUCACCUGUUGGAUGCAUUUUGGUUGAGGUUACUUUUUAACUACCAUCAUGUUCCAAAGCACUUGUACAAUAAUAUGGAGAGUAAUUUGGUGUGUCGUGUGGCAUAGUUUCUAUUUUCCUCAAAAGCAAUUUACACUGGCAUUGUAGGGUCAGCUCCACCAAUUCCCUUGCAAUAUUUCCUGGGGUUUUUUCCCCCAAAUUUUCCUCCUCUAAAUGCUGCAUUUGUAACACAUGCUUUGCUUAGUUAGGUGCCCAGAAGGAAAUGAUGCUGUUUGGUUGAUGCAGCGCUCUGCACCGGUUUAGCAAGAAAAGUGUUUGAACUGAGUUGCAUCAGAAAUUCAAGUUUAGGCUUCUCACUGGAGUAAACAUGUUACUGUUUAUUCUCGGGUGCUCUAUUCUUUAUGAUUUGGUUAAUAAUGUUACUGUUAUGGUUAAUAGUGUAAUGUAUCAUUCAGUCUGGGUAAUCUGCAUUGAUUAAAAAUAUUGCAUAAAGAAGAAAAAUUGCUUUUGGCCCUUUUUUAAUACACACUGUUCUGUGAGGGCAGCUCUGGCUCAUCCAGUACUAACAUGAAUUCUGUAUCCUUACCAGUGCCAGCCCAGUCACAGCAAUGACUGACGUUCUCAAGGACAACACGUUUGUAGGUUUCCGUAUGAAAUAAUAGGAAUGGUGGGUUAGUGUUGAAGACCUGCAAAAUACAAUUCAGCAUAAAUGGAGUGGAAAAAUCAGGAACUUUACCAUGCCUGGAAGUUUAAAAUCCCAAGCUGAUAAACUAAAAUUCAGUUGUAGCAGCUUUUAGUAAUCAAAAGCAUAACAAAAAUAUGGUGGAAAACUUUAGAAGUAUUUUCAAAUUCAAAGUCAGGCUAGCUGUCUGACUUUACAAGCCCUAUGAGUACUGCCCAAAGCAUGCAGACUCUUGCAGACAAAACUUUUUGUACAAAUAAGCUUUUGCUUUUAUUCUUACAUGUUGAUAUUCAUUCUCAUGAAGUGUACCUCUAUCUGUUUAUAUGAGUUUAAUUUUCAUGGCAUAAAUGUUUACAAAGAGACAAAAAUAAACAGUUACCAGUAGUCAGCACUGAAAUAUGUUUUUUAGUUCACUGAACUGUGCACAAACAAAUUUUGAAACUAUGUGGCCAGGCCUAAUAACAGUUAGUCUUAUCUUAUUUAUACACUGGUAAAUCCACCCCCACAAUUUAAUUGAGGAACUGUGUGUGGGCAGGCUUGUGUGGUGUCAGUAUAUGAAGGAUGUGCUGGAUGUAUGUACAGCUCAUAUCGUAUACCCUAAAUGUUAAUCAGUUUACGAUGUAUGAAACUGUGCUGCAAUAUGUAUUGAUAUUUAUUGCAGCAUUUAAAAUAUUGAAAUAUUUCAGUAAAUUAUUGCAAUGUUGCAAUAACUUCACUAAAUAUUUCAGUAAGUGUUUAUUGCAUAAUUGGUUACUGAAAUAUUUAUGUCAUUCACACGUUAGCUGAUGUUUCGUUGACCAAAGCACCUGUUUCCAUUGGGUGUUGAUCACAGUUGCUGCUGGCUGCUGAAUCUGGAAGGCACAGUGAGGGCAGGACAUGUUCCAUACUGGCAGUACUCUAAUCCAGUUAACAUGGGCAUCAGUUGCAAUGAAAAUAUGAUGACCUGAGGAUUUGCCUAUAUUGGCAACUGGCAUAUGCACCUACACCAUGGACAGCUUAAAAUCUAUAUACAUUUGUCUCCACAGCUGUUUCUAAUCGUAUUAGCAAGACUGAUCUGCAAGUACAUGCCAGAGGCUCUACCUCUGCUUUCUGCUCCAGCCAUCCUCCACAGACCAUGCAGGGCAGGGGCCUGAAUUACAGACAGAGAUUUGAAAGCAGGUGUUGAGUUUUCAAAGAAGAAAAGGCUGUGUUGUUAAGAACAAAUCUGAGUUUCAAAAGGAUUUUUCUACAGCGCCAGGGUACUGGAUCUCUUAAGAUAAGAUUCAAGUAGUUGUGAAAAUACAGGUUUCAUAGACAUGUCCUGCCAUUAGCGAAGUGCCACUUCAUUGAUGUCCCUGUUCUGCUGAUUAUUCUUUUGUGUUUUUCUACAAAUUCCAACAACAAAAGCUACCAGCUUUCUUCUGGGAAAAAAUCUCCAGGCUUAUUGCUUCUGAGAUCGUUGCCUCUUGUCAGUUUUUUGAGAUAAAGUUUGGAUAAGGACAAAUAAUUUACACGCUGUAACCUAAAAGACAUUUUUUCCUAGGAUUAUUCAUGGUAAUCUUUUUUCUUUUUCCUGGAAGGCCUGUGUCCCAAGAGGCCCCUGCACUUACGUCUGACAGCGUGAGACCUCAGUAAAAGCACGCAUUGUAUUCCUGUACCUCACUUGCCUUUAGCCCCAGUUCAUGUAACACAUCUUGCAUGUUUAAUCAUUUUGUAACAUAUAAAACUGUACUGCCAUAAUAUUAAUUUUCAAAUAUUAGACAUCUCAUUCCAGGGCCAGUGCAAACAGGCAGGCACCGGAGGGCCAGGUCAGCAACAUAUUUGGGCACAUAAAAAGUAGUUAGAUAAUAGAAAUGUUAGUAUUAUUUCUAAGAGUAAAAUAUCUUUAUCAUUUAAGAUGCAAAACUUUGGGGUCUUCAACGUUAUCCAGGUAUAUUAUCUGCAUACAAUAUCUGAGAAAAUCUUUUUAAACUAUGAGUUCACCUGAAUUUCUAUUUCAUGAGGAACAGAAAUCAGGCAUACGUAUCUAACAAGAACAUCUGUAAACUGUAUCUGAUAUGUAAAAUAUAAAUAUAUAUAUUUUAAAAUAAUGUUAUUUAAAUCUAUUUGAAAGUCUCUAUAGCACAAAGAAUCCAAUUCUAUUGAAAUUUUAGUAUGGUUUGGAGAUGGCUUAAUUCUUAAUUUUUAAAAUUUUUAAUCCAAACUGUGAUGGGAAUUUCCUGUGUUCUUAUAUCUGUUUUAAAAAGUCCAAGAAAUGUAUUUAAUGUAUCUAAUGUAGAGCUGUGUUCCGUAUCUUAACACAGAAUGCUUCAAUUUCUGCACAAAGCAAUACUAUAAUGACAUUGGCUUUGUCUGCAUGCAAUGGGAGUGUGAAAGGUUGUAGAGAAAAUGUUAAGGAGGCAAUAUUUACUGUGUAUGCCAUUUGGCAGUUGUUCUUUAGGUUAGCUGUGGUCUGAUCCCACGUACUUAAUGCAAUUUAUCAGAAGGAGAGUGUCUUCCAGCUUAAUUUCAUUUGAAAGGAAUCCAGUUUGCAUGCUUAGAGAUUGCUUGGCAACAUGAACUAACAAUGGCUAGUACGGAUUUUGGAGGGAGUUUUGAAUCAAAAGGGAAUUCCUUAUCCAAACUAAUAUUAUAAUGUAGAUACAUCUAUUGUUUUUAUUAGCAUUUGAAAAUGGAUGUGGUGUCAUUGAGAAAUCCCAGUUUCAUUAGGUCAGUCUCAAGAAGGGUUUUCCGGAGGAGCCACAGCUCCCUUUGCUGAGCCGCGGGGUCUCGUCUCGUGUUCUCACCAGCGCCCCGAGAACGGGCUGCUCUUCCUGGUGGAAAACAGCAGCUCCCCUCUGGGAAUGGGAAGGAACGUGAAGAAGCUGUUGGGAACACAUCCAGGAUGCCCUUUGCGUUUGGUCCCUGGCCGAAGGCGACCAGCCCCAGGGUGAGUGGCUCUGGUGGCUGAUAGCCGGCGGUGAAGGGCCAGGGCUCCCUGACAGGCGGCUGCUCUCGGGGAACGGGGAGGCAACAACAGCCGCUUGCAGGGAACGGUGUUAAAACGCAGACUUGUGCGUGGGCACAGCUUCCCGUUUCGUGCUGUCUGCUCCACAGGGACAGAGAGGUAAGUGCAAUCAGAGUCUGUCGGCAGCUGGUGCUGGAGGAGCUCAGAGCUAUGCUGAGGUGAUCAGAAGUUUUAAUCUGUAACUUCUCUGCAUUUGAAUUUGACAUAUUCUUCAAUUUUAUAAUAAUAUAUUUUCAAAUAGAUUUAAUCGAUGUGUAGGGAACAAUUGUGGGUUAUGUGAAAGCUUGACCCCUUGUGUUUGUAAUGCUUCCUUAUGGUCUAUACCCCAGGAAAGCCCAAAAGGAUACCCGGCUUGUGUGAAAGGAAGGAGGACUGAAUUAUAUAUGUAUGGAAGAUGAGUUCCUUAAUAGAAUUGUAGGUUGGCAUCUGAUUUGGUUUUUACAGGUGAAAGUCAGUUGCAACUCCUAAAUUCAAUGGAUUUACCUACUGUAAAGAAAGAGUUGUCAGAUCCAAAUCACAAGCUAUUCCUGAAAAAUCACAAGAACUGAGAAGAUGCUCAUUUUUGUUACUGACAGAUGCACUGAUGUUGUAUUUCUGUCUUCAUAAAGGAACGAUGUUCUCUCUUAAGUGUGUAAUGAGGAGCCCAGUCAGAUGACUGCAUACUUCUUUGUCCAAAAGGUCAAAGGAUAUAAGACAGGAUCUGAGACGAUGAUUUGUUUAAUUUGGCCCAAGGAUACAAAUACACUUUAGUUUUUUUUCCCUGUAGAACUGUAAUUAUUUGGAAAAAUAUGAUGUUGAAGACAGCCCAUAAGUUUUGGUUCUGGAUAGAGAAAUCAGACUUAAUGCAUACAAGUCCUCAUAUUGUUCUAGAGACAAACCGACACUUAGCGAUAUAAAAAGUAGCGCGCAUGAUAGCACUGUUACAAGACAAGCUGAAUGUGUAAAUUGAAUAAAAUUAGAAUCUGUGUCAAUAAUCUGAGGUGAGCAGCUGAAGUACACUGGGUAGAAUGUUGGAGGACCGGGCGGGAGCCCGUGUGCGGGAUUGUGCAGACACAGCCCGUGCUGCCGAGCGCUCUGCUCAUCAGCCACACUGCACUGCAAACCUUGGAACUGUUUGGCUCACAUGAGCUCACCAGUUGGAGGGCUGCCGUUCUUCGUGUAAGGGUGGAGAAGGCAUGCAAAGUAUUUAGGGUAUGUGUCAAUGCAUGUCCUGUAGAUCGUGCUCUGUGUACUACAGCAAGGAAAAGCACAGAAUUGCUUUUCAGAACAAAAAAUAUGUUUAUUUCCUUUUUCAGGGUCAAUUUUUUUUCCUCAAGCCUCUUUUACUGCACCUUCUGUCAUGUGGAUAGUUGUUUUACAAUAUUCAUAGUCAGACUAAACCCUUGAAAACAUGACCACUGCACUGAAAUUACAAAGCCUCAAAGAUCGCAUUAUGGGGAGGAAUUUUUGUUCACCUACUAAUUUUUUGGUAUUUUAAUGAGUUACUUUUAAAAACAUUGUCUCUGCACGUUUGAAAAUCAAAAAUCCAUUUUUGAAAUGGACCUAGGCACUGUCCUGUAUUUAUCUGUGGCUUCAAGAAAAGUACCAAAUAUUGUGACAUUUAGGAUAAGGCCCAAAGAGCUGGGAAAGCACUGCUGGCUGCUCUUGGUACAGAAAGUCAUACUGAUAAUAAAAUCUGUAGGAGUUAGAACAAAUGUGUUACCCAGCAGAGAUGUUUCUGACUUACUGUCUGGAUGAACUGAGGCUGUAGUCCUGUCCAUCAAUCUGAUGUCUGGUUUAAGAAACUUCAGAGUGAGUUUUAUUGCCUAAUUUUGGGCACUUAACCUAAAAAAGGGAGUUUUGACUGUCUGUAUUACUGUUUCAUAUUCUGUGGUACGUUGCGUGGAACGAUCACUAAUUACUUAGAUGCUGUUGUAUGUAUGUCUUUGUAAGUACAGCACACAUGAAGUUGUUUGGCAAGAUCUCAAGACAAGGUGGUGUUUUUACCAGUAACACAGAGUACGCUUUCCCUACACAGAAGGGGAAAUCUGAAAGAAAACAUAAGCUAAAUGGAACUGGGGUCUUUGGAUAGAAAUAAAGGCUGUUACCUGCAGUUGUAAGUCACAGAACAGUUGAGGUCAUAAGGGACCUCUGGAGAUGGUCUGGUGGGAUCAGCUGCAACAGGCUGCCCCACACCUUGUCCAGUCAGGCUCUGAAAUAACAGAUUCAAGAAAAAACAGGCCCAUUUGCAUAUCCCAGAAUAACAAUAAUUUUUAAAGCUUCUUUUAAAGAAGAGAAAUGAGUGAUGUUUUAUGGGUGGUACUUCAAGCAGAGUGCUUGUAAAGUAGCUCUUGCACUCUAACAACAAUUACUUGUUAAAGACAUUUUCAUAAGGAACUUUGUUAGUGGUCCAUGCCUUAGUAGCAAGUAUGUAUUACUACUAAACACCUUAAUAACUCCUUUUGGCAAAUACGUAUUAUUUUAAAAUCAUUACCCAGCCAUUUAGAGGUCCAGUGGGGUUCCAAACUGCACAUGCAGCCUUGAAUCCAGUAGCAAAGCUUUCAUUCAUCCUUGUAAAGAGCUAUUCCUAAAGCUUUCUUACAUCAAAAAGGGUGCUACAGGAGCAGUCAGUUUUCAGACACACAUCAGGUAGGGUCUUUCAGUAAUAACAGACUAAUUAGGUUAGAAUCUAACCUAACUGUGGUGAAUCUUUAACCAGGGGAUGUUUCAAUUACUUGCCACCUGCAGGGGAGGGCUGAGGGAGGGUUGCUGAGUUGAGCACAGAGUUCCUCAUCUUUCUCUUGGCCCAAACCUAAACAAGCUGUGCUGGCGAAAGACCAUCCCAAACAAAUCACACAGGUAUGAAAAGUUCUGAAAGGAGAAUGUCUCCCAAAAGACUUGAAAACAAUUAUGAAUGAUUUGCUAGAAAACAAAGACACAAAAUUUAGUUACUUUUUGAGUCAGCUGGAACAGGUAAUGUUCUCUUAGGCCCUGUGCAGCUAGAUAGUGUUUGCCCAAUGUUACACUUCUUAUUUUUUACAGUAAUAAAAGAAGGAUCUUCUGUUUCAUGUAUAAACUCACUUAGGAUCCAACUGCUUCCAUCCUAGUUGAUUAUAAAGCUCAUAAUGAAUGCAAUAGCAUCACAAUAGGGCCCCUAAAAAAUGUAAGCAUACUAAGAAAAACCUUUACUAUUCAGACUGGAGUUGUGCCUGUUAUCAUGCUGCUGGAACUAAAACCCAUCAAGACAAAGCACCAAAGAUGACAAAGCUUAAUUCACAUGAUAGAUAAUAGCAAGAUAACAAUUUUCAUUAUUCUUUCUCCAGAGACUUCUUAGCUUAUCUGUCACAAUAAUAUUUGGAAGAGUGUUUCACAUACUUGUAAAAAGCAUCGUUUGCCUUUGACUAGAAUGAAAUUUGUCAUUACAAAUGCCUUUGAACAAACCCUUGUCCCAAUUCAGGGAACUAUUUAAGGAAAUAUUUAAUUAUAAGUAUACAUUUUAAUAGCAAUGUGUACAAAACAAUCUGAGCAUGUGAUUCUACGCUAUCCAGAAUUGCAAUCAACCUCACUAUAUGUUAAAAAUCCAAACAUAGGUGAAGCCCAAGUUGCAGACAUAUGCAAAUAAUUUGAAUCCAUUUUACUUCACUAGAAGUUAGAAGGCCUAUCUGCACAUACUGUGCAGUAGAAAUUCUUUGCUCUGAGAGUCCUACAGAGAGAGGCACAUUGUUCACACCAGAUAUCUUGGUUAUUUUGCCUGAAUAAGCCCAGUGCUCUGGUAGGUGCUCCCUGGCACGCUUGUUGUGCCAGGCACUCCUGGGUAGAUGGGAAGGGGUGGAGCACGAUGAUGUCCUUGCUGUGGUGUCAGCUGAGGUACGUUCGCUUUCUCUGACUCUUCCAGCCCUGCUGCACUAAGUGCCAUAGAUGCCAUUUGCAAGAAAACCAUGCUCCAGAAAAAGAGAAGACUCCUGAGAUUGUUUUUAACAUCCUCAUUUUUAGGGCAUUGAAACUUUUUAAGCGAAAAGGGCAUUUUAUAGAAAAUUCCUGCCUCAUCACUGGGUUGCUUAUUACUUUCCAUGUUGAGUUGAUUAUUUUACUAGCAGCUUAUAGAGGGGAGUUAAUAAUUUCCUGUUAGUAUUAAGGCUGAAAUCUGCUAUUCAGCUUGUGCAUCUACAAUGUGGUUUAUAUCAGCUGUUUAAUAAAAUUAGAAGGCUUUUAAUGACAGCAGUGAUGUAUCACAUAAUUUAAGUAUUUCUGCACAAAUGAAGGUUUAGGCCACUUACCAUUAGAAGUGAUCAAAUCAGAUAUUUUUUACUCCUUUUUUCUUUUUCAAAUGAGUUCUUUUGCAAAGAGCACUGGUAACUGUUUCAAGCAUUUUGGAACAAAUUGUGUUUUAUCAGCAAGCAAGACCUGGAGGUUUUGUGUCAAAAAGUUUACAUGUUUCAUGAUUAGUGCUUUUUAAGCAAGGUAUCUAGCACUUCUGGUUUCUGCGGCUGGUGGAGACUCUUGGCCCUUCUCCCCAGCCCAGGAGGAGUUGACACCACGCCCAGAGUCUGAAUCAGCCCCUCUUCUGCAGAGCUUAAUUUAUUACUUGGACUUAAGACUCGCUCUGUGACCUACCAGAGGAAUCAAGAGGCUCCCUGUGGAUUCACUCCUCCUUAGGUAGGAAGAAUAAUUUGGUUCCCUCUCAGUCAUAUAUCGAUAAGUGAUUCCUCUGCCUUUUUCUUAGAUGGGCAACACAUGCUACUGCCAUUAGGUGCUGGCUUGUAGAACUAUGAAAUUUGUAUGGAAUAGUCCGUUGUUGUCAUAUAUCCUACACUGAAAUUCAUGAAAAAAGGGAAUUAAAUGUGUUCCUUGACCUUGCAAUUGGAUGUUUCAGGCUAGUAGGUCAGUUUCUGGUAAGGCCUCAAAGAAAAACCAAAAAAAAAUGCUUAAAGAGCCAAGCAUGGAGCAGGUGAGGGACCACAGAAAGCUGGUAGUUUUUUUCGAAGACACCUUAUAUGCAGAAAGCUUAUGUAUAUCAAAUACAUACAUUUGUGUUUUGCUAAACAGUUGCCUUGACUUCAUUAGUCUGUGCAAUAGAGGGAUGCAUAUCAGUUCACCUCAUCAUGCUACCGUGCCGUACGGUGUAGGUGGACACCUGGAUUGCAUCCAGCCAGCCUUGGCACUCGUGUCCGUCACCACACACCUGCAUGGCUGCGUGCCCUGUCCCUGCAGGCCAGAGAGGUGUUAGGGGAAGGAAACACUCCGUUUGUGUCCCACUGGCGACCUGAUGUAGUCCUUGUGGGAGAAGGCUUCCUGUAGAUGUUGUAUGAGCUGCAUCAAGCUCUGUAUUUCAUGAUGGUUUAUCCCUUGGCAAUGCAUUCUGUCUUCAGGUGGCCUUGGGAACUGGAGCUCGAUAGCAUAGUCAGCCAUGCACCUGUGAUUCCUGAAAGGAGUUUUGUGAAGGGCCACUAGAUAUCUCCAACAUACAUAUGAAUAAUUCCUUUGUCUCUUGUUAUCAAGACAGGGAAAGUCUUGUCUCUUCUUCUAAAUGCAAGAGAAUUGUGGGCUGUCAGUAUCUUGAAGGAUGGAGUGAUAUUUUUUUGCUUCCUGUGAAUAACAAAAAGAAAAAAGUAAUGCUGUAUGUGUCCUGUUGUCCUGUUGUAUCUUUUUAACCCUUCAGUUUAUUAAUAUGUUGGUGUGGUUACAAUUAUCAGGAAUUCUGAUGCUAUCUAGAUGGUUACACAAAUCUAAGUUAUUGAGCAAGUGGAAUCUCUACUGAAUAUGAUCUUGCUUUAGAUUCAGAGAGUGAAUAGCUUGCCUUUAAUACUUCUAAUAAAUCACAAGUUGAAAUGACUAAUUUACCUCAUAGAAAGACGUGAAUCGCUCAUUGCAGCUUCUUCCAAGAGUUGCCUCACUUGUUCUCUAUUUGGAAGUGUUUCCAGUGGGCUGGAAAUGCUUUCUGAAUUGCUAGAUUACCCAUGCACACUUCUGCUCUGAAGGCCAGAUCGGGAUUUAUUUAAUUCUAAGACUGCAGUAUUUUUUCUGCUACGUAGGUGUCUGUCUGCAAGGUUUGCACUACCUUUAGUUUAGUGUUGUGGUGCUGCAUGUUUCCAUGUGCAUUCAUGUAUUUUCUUUGAAGGAAACAAUUCAAAUAAAGGAGUAAAAACUUAUGUCAGACAAAUGACCUACAUACAAGCAAUGAUGGGCUCACAGCCUAAGAAUGUAAGCUGCAAGAAGUAACCAUUUUGCGGAAUGCCUAUCUUGUCAGUAAGUGCAUAUGAAAUCUUUUAAUAUUGGUAUCCUUUUAAGGGCCAUAAGGGUAAUUUUUAAGCACAGGUUAGAGCCCCUGUUCUUUCUGGUGUAGAUGCUGGUUGCUAAUCCCAGCUGAGCCUUCCACAAUCAUGGAAUCAUUUAGGUUGGAAUAGACUUUUAAGGUCAUUGAGUCCAAGUCAAACUAGUCCACGAAUACAGAGACCAACUAAAUUCACUGUGAGGAAAAAAACCCAUGUUUUUCAAAAGGAAAUGACCAGUAGAGAAAAGCAGUUCAUUCUCAGACUUCCAAAGGCUCUUGUAAAGGGGCAGCUCUUAAAGAAGAGUAACUAAAUACUCAAAGAUGUAGUUUAAUUAUGCAGUAAUUCUUAUUAUUGAGAAAUACAAUAGAAGAAAAAAAAAGGUCACUGAGUCACAUAUUGUUUUCAAGCUCUAGAAAAGCAAUGAAGCAAUGUAAAACAGAAGAAUGGGGGAGAGAUUGAGCAAGCUUUCAGGGAGGAAGAUUUAAUUUUGCCAUGUGAUUCAGCAUAAGGAAUGGCAGGAACGUGAGGGAGGGAAGUUGGAG